ACUUCAUAUUAUUUCUAAACUUUUUUUCUCUACAGAAAUUUUCUUAAAAAUGGGUUUAGUGAGAGAAAUGCGGAAAAUACACAAUGAAUAAACUUUUGAGAAAUUAUAUCAAUAAAAGAAAAGCAGGAUAAGAUUCAAAAUUUUACGUGAAAAUUAUAAAUAUUGAAUUUUAAACAGUUUUUGUUGUCUGACAUACUAACGAUUAAUCAAGAAGAGUAUCGUAUUUUGAAUGGAGAAUAAGGAAAAUACAUCAGGAAUUCAUAAAAUGGCUUCAAAUUGAUGCAGAGCAACGUAAAAUGAUGAAGGAUCCAUUUGACUAUGAAAGCAAAGAUUUGCAUUUGGAUAAUAGUCUCAGAGUGAUACCUGAUCAAUACAAAAAUGACGUCAAUAAG